rnacentral:rRNA from 1 species
ACCAGAUGACCCCUUCGGGGUGAUUCUGGCGGAAUGAGCGGCGGACGGGUGAGUAACACGUGGGCAACCUGCCUGUAAGACUGGGAUAACUUCGGGAAACCGGAGCUAAUACCGGAUAGUAUUUCCUUUCUCCUGAUUGGAAAUGGAAAGACGGUUUCGGCUGUCACUUACAGAUGGGCCCGCGGUGCAUUAGCUAGUUGGUGGGGUAAUGGCCCACCAAGGCGACGAUGCAUAGCCGACCUGAGAGGGUGAUCGGCCACACUGGGACUGAGACACGGCCCAGACUCCUACGGGAGGCAGCAGUAGGGAAUCUUCCGCAAUGGACGAAAGUCUGACGGAGCAACGCCGCGUGAGCGAUGAAGGCCUUCGGGUCGUAAAGCUCUGUUGUUAGGGAAGAACAAGUACGAGAGUAACUGCUCGUACCUUGACGGUACCUAACCAGAAAGCCCCGGCUAACUACGUGCCAGCAGCCGCGGUAAUACGUAGGGGGCAAGCGUUGUCCGGAAUUAUUGGGCGUAAAGGGCUCGUAGGCGGUUUCUUAAGUCUGAUGUGAAAGCCCACAGCUCAACUGUGGAGGGUCAUUGGAAAACUGGGGAACUUGAGUGCAGAAG